rnacentral:rRNA from 1 species
UACCAGCUCUCCGAGUGGUGUGGAUGUUUAUUGGGCCUAAAGCAUCCGUAGCUGGCUGGACAAGUCCCCUGUUAAAUCCACCGAUUUAAUCGUUGGUGUGCGGGGGAUACUGUUCGGCUAGGGGACGGGAGAGGCAGACGGUAUUUUCGGGGUAGGGGUGAAAUCCUAUAAUCCCGGGAAUACCGCCAGUGGCGAAGGCUGUCUGCUAGAACGCGCCCGACGGUGAGGGAUGAAAGCUGGGGGAGCGAACCGGAUUAGAUACCCGGGUAGUCCCAGCUGUAAACGAUGCAGGCUAGGUGUUUGGACGGUCACGUGCCGUUCUAGUGCCGCAGGGAAGCCGUUAAGCCUGCCGCCUGGGGAGUACGGCCGCAAGGCUGAAACUUAAAGGAAUUGGCGGGGGAGCACCACAAGGGGUGAAGCUUGCGGUUU